GAUGAACGCUGGCGGCGUGCCUAAUACAUGCAAGUCGAGCGAACAGACGAGGAGCUUGCUCCUCUGACGUUAGCGGCGGACGGGUGAGUAACACGUGGAUAACCUACCUAUAAGACUGGGAUAACUUCGGGAAACCGGAGCUAAUACCGGAUAAUAUAUUGAACCGCAUGGUUCAAUAGUGAAAGACGGUUUUGCUGUCACUUAUAGAUGGAUCCGCGCCGCAUUAGCUAGUUGGUAAGGUAACGGCUUAUCAAGGCAACGAUGCGUAGCCGACCUGAGGGGGUGGUCGGCCACACUGGAGCUGAGACGCGGUCCAUACUCCUACGGGAGGCAGCAGUAGGGAAUCUUCCGCAAUGGGCGAAAGCCUGACGGAGCAACGCCGCGUGAGUGAUGAAGGUCUUCGGAUCGUAAAACUCUGUUAUUAGGGAAGAACAAAUGUGUAAGUAACUAUGCACGUCUUGACGGUACCUAAUCAGAAAGCCACGGCUAACUACGUG
rnacentral:rRNA from 1 species